ACUCAAUUAUUUAAUUCAUUAAAUAAUUCUCCGUCAGAGCAAUGGAAGCAAUUGGCAGAUCAAGAAUCACCCUUUUGGCUUUUUUCAUCCUUUUUUCUCUCCUAGUUGUGGCACAUUGUAAUGUUAAUGACAAGGAAAGCAAUGGAAUAGUCAGUGAUGCAGAAAAGGGAGAGGGAAGCAGCAAAAUUAAUAUAUCUAAUUGCAAGCCAGCACCCUGCGCUGCAGGACGUGGCACUUGCUAUUGUUGUAUUGUUGGGGCAUGCUAUUAUUCAUCUGCGGCAUGUUGUUCUCAUUGUAAAUGUUAAGGACAAUACUCAAAACCUAUUACUUUUUUUUUUUUUUUUUU